rnacentral:rRNA from 1 species
CUACGGGUGGCAGCAGUGGGGAAUAUUGGACAAUGGGGGAAACCCUGAUCCAGCAAUGCCGCGUGUGUGAAGAAGGCCUGCGGGUUGUAAAGCACUUUCGGUUGGGAGGACUGCUUCUAGCACUAAUAUUGUUGGAAGUUGACGUUACCUUCAGAAGAAGCACCGGCUAACUCCGUGCCAGCAGCCGCGGUAAUACGGAGGUGCAAGCGUUAAUCGGAAUUACUGGGCGUAAAGCGCGCGGAGGCGGCUAGAUCAGUCGGGUGUGAAAGCCCCGGGCUUAACCUGGGAAUUGCAUCCGAUACUGUCUAGCUUGAGUACAGGAGAGGAGAGUGGAAUUCCACAUGUAGCGGUGAAAUGCGUGGAUAUGUGGAGGAACACCAAUGGCGAAGGCAGCUCUCUGGCCUGAUACUGACGCUGAGGUGCGAAAGCGUGGGGAGCAAACAGGAUUAGAUACCCCUGUAGUC